rnacentral:tRNA from 1 species
GCUCAGUUGGUAGAACAUGUGACUCUUGAUCUUGAGGUUGUGAGUUCGAGCCCCACACUGAGCA